CUCCUCCAAGGGUGAUUCCCCAGCUUGGGGCAAAGCGGAGGGGAGGCCGGCUUCAAAGCCUCUCUCAGCCUGUGGAAAAGCGCAGUCUGGAGUGGGGUGGCUGCCAAGUCUGCUGCAUGAAUGUUCAUUUUACUUGGCUUGUGGUCAAACAACAGCAAAAAACCAGGUUAGGGUUCUCAGGUGAUGCCGAUGUUAAUGCUGCCAAUCCAGAGGCUACACUUUGGGAACCACUGCUGAUGAGGAGCUCAUGCACGGAGUAGGAGGAGCACUGGAGACACAAGGGAAAUGCUGUAGCUCCGUAGGCAGACUUUGCAGAAGAGCCCCCCUGAUAUGCACAAAUGGUGUUUUUUGGAGAGUAACAUAUGAAGUGAAAGGAGCUGGAUACCAUCAUCCCGUCAAUAUCCCCUGGGAUUUACUAAGCUGGCCUUGGAGGGAUGUGUGAGCUGCCCGCAGAAGUUUCAAAGCCACUGGAUGAAAUGAAGGGUGAAAGAUAUUUUUACAAACAGGCAUAGUUAUCCCAUCUUGCUGUAACCCUCCCUCUGUGAGUUUUUUCUCUCUGGGGAGAUGUUAACGGGGCAGGAUUCCAGUUUAGAGGAGAAGGGGAGUCCUCGGCAGCAGCCUGCUCUGUCCUGGAUCGGCCAAGUGGAUUCCUCUGUGGGAGAGAGAGGAGUCCAGUUUCUAUGACGAUCCACAGCUGCUCUGCCAAGACUGCCAGCCGAGGUCCCUGGCGGUGCUAAUUGCUAUGCGGAC
rnacentral:lncRNA from 1 species